ACUCAAAUGAAUUGACGGGGGCCCGCACAAGCGGUGGAGCAUGUGGUUUAAUUCGACGCAACGCGAAGAACCUUACCCAGGCUUGAACUGCAGAGGACACUCUAAGAAAUUAGACUUCCGCAAGGACCUCUGUAGAGGUGCUGCAUGGCUGUCGUCAGCUCGUGUCGUGAGAUGUUGGGUUAAGUCCCGCAACGAGCGCAACCCUUGUCUUCUGUUGCCAUCAGGUUAAGCUGGGCACUCUGAAGAGACUGCCGGUGACAAACCGGAGGAAGGUGGGGAUGACGUCAAGUCAGCAUGGCCUUUAUGUCUGGGGCCACACACGUGCUACAAUGGCAGGUACAAACCGUCGCGAGACCGCAAGGUGGAGCUAAUCGGAUAAAGCCUGUCUCAGUUCGGAUUGUCGGCUGCAACUCGCCGGCAUGAAGUUGGAAUCGCUAGUAAUCGCGGAUCAGCACGCCGCGGUGAAUACGUUCCCGGGCCUUGUACACACCGCCCGU
rnacentral:rRNA from 1 species